AGUAAAAAAUGAUCUCGAGCUGGGAGCUAGGGUUACGCCGUAAAAUUUCAACGGGUGGCUGAUGUCUCUCUCUUAAUCGCCGAGGAUGGAGACAACUGCGUUGAGAUCGGCGCGGAUUUGUCGUCGUCGUCGUCGAUCGAUCGUCGCAGCAGAGUCGUCGAGGUGGCCGAUUGACGCAGAGCUCGAAGGGGGCGACGAUGAGAUCGACGUGCUCUGAUACCAGUGUUUGAAAACAGAGAAGAAGGAAGAACAGAUAUUGAGGGGGGUUCUGCUAAUGGGUAUCCUACAUAAAGAUCCUAUGUUGGAGGUUGGAUGGAUUUGUGCCUACACGAUCAUGUUCAUUGGAGGAUGGAAGAAAUAUCAGAAUGAAGUUUUGCAUUUCAAGUCAAGUAUAAGUUAAAGCUUCAUUCGCAACCAAGACAAACAUAUCGAAGAUCUCUUAACUUGGGUACUGUGGUCGUUGGCAAAGGCUUCAAAGACAACGUAGAUAGAUCAUUUCAUCAAUACUUUUGAUUUCUAACAAUGCAUAGCCUUUUAUUUUGAUUUUUUACAACAAAGGUGUGGAAGUAGCAUGAAAUCAAUUAG